rnacentral:rRNA from 1 species
CCUACGGGUGGCUGCAGUGGGGAAUAUUGCACAAUGGGGGAAACCCUGAUGCAGCGACGCCGCGUGAGUGAAGAAGUAUUUCGGUACGUAAAGCUCUAUCAGCAGGGAAGAAAAUGACGGUACCUGACUCAGAAGCCCCGGCUCACUACGUGCCAGCAGCCGCGGUAAUACGGAGGGGGCAAGCGUUAUCCGGAUUUACCGGGUGUAAAGGGAGCGUAGGCGGCAGCGCAAGUCUGGAGUGAAAUCCCAUGGCUUAACCAUGGAACUGCUUUGGAAACUGUGCAGCUAGCGUGCAGGAGAGGUAGGCGGAAUGCCUGGUGUAGCGGUGAAAUGCGUAGAGAUUAGGAGGAACACCAAUGGCGAAGGCGGCUUACUGGACUGUAACUGACGUUGAGGCUCGAAAGCGUGGGGAGCAAACAGGAUUAGAUACCCGAGUAGUG